UACGGAGGGGGCCAGCGUUGUUCGGAAUCAUUGGGCGUAAAGGGCACGCAGGCGGCCUGGUAAGUCCGGUGUGAAAUCCCUCGGCUCAACCGAGGAACUGCACCGGAAACUGCCGGGCUUGAGUCCGGGAGAGGAGGGCAGAAUUCCCAGUGUAGCGGUGAAAUGCGUAGAUAUUGGGAGGAACACCGGUGGCGAAGGCGGCUCUCUGGACCGGUACUGACGCUGAGGUGCGAAAGCCAGGGGAGCAAACAGG
rnacentral:rRNA from 1 species